UUUUUCGAUUCGGUUAGUUUUCGUCAAACUACUUGUAUUUUUUGUUGUUAAACUUGUUAUCUGCUGUGUAAACAUCAUAGUUUGUAUUUUUGUUGAUUUUUUGGUUAGAUUCUGUGUUAGUCAUUUGUUGUAGUCACGAUCUGUUAGUCUGUUGAGAUUAAACAUCAUCAGUAGAUAAAAAUGGUAGAAAUCGAUGAUGAUUCUUCUUCUGUUCCUACCAAUUUUGUUCCUAGUCCUACAAACCCUCUAUUUCUUAUGUCAUCCGAUGUUCCUGGAGUGUCUUUGGUUACCAAUCCAUUCUCAGGGAUUGGUUUUGGGGGAUGGAGGAGAAACGUA
rnacentral:lncRNA from 1 species